UUACACCUACGGGACGCAGCAGUAGGGAAUCUUCCACAAUGGGCGAAAGCCUGAUGGAGCAACGCCGCGUGGUGAAGAAGGUCUUCGGAUCGUAAAACCCUGUUGUUAGAGAAGAAAGUGCGUGAGAGUAACUGUUCACGUUUCGACGGUAUCUAACCAGAAAGCCACGGCUGACUACGCGCCAGCGGCCGCGGUAAUACGUAGGUGGCAAGCGUUAUCCGGAUUUAUUGGGCGUAAAGGGAACGCAGGCGGUCUUUUAAGUCUGAUGUGAAAGCCUUCGGCUUAACCGGAGUAGUGCAUUGGAA
rnacentral:rRNA from 1 species